CCUACGGGAGGCAGCAGUGGGGAAUAUUGGACAAUGGGGGGAACCCUGAUCCAGCCAUGCCGCGUGUGUGAAGAAGGCCCUCGGGUGGUAAAGCACUUUCAGUGAGGAAGAACGCCUGGUGGUUAAUACCCAUCAGGAAAGACAUCACUCACAGAAGAAGCACCGGCUAACUCCGUGCCAGCAGCCGCGGUAAUACGGAGGGUGCGAGCGUUAAUCGGAAUUACUGGGCGUAAAGCGCGCGUAGGUGGCUUGAUAAGCCGGUUGUGAAAGCCCCGGGCUCAACCUGGGAACGGCAUCCGGAACUGUCAAGCUAGAGUGCAGGAGAGGAAGGUAGAAUUCCCGGUGUAGCGGUGAAAUGCGUAGAGAUCGGGAGGAAUACCAGUGGCGAAGGCGGCCUUCUGGACUGACACUGACACUGAGGUGCGAAAGCGUGGGUAGCAAACAGGAUUAGAUACCCUAGUAGUC
rnacentral:rRNA from 1 species